UACGAAGGGGGCUAGCGUUGUUCGGAAUUACUGGGCGUAAAGAGCAUGUAGGCGGAAUAGCAAGUCAGUGGUGAAAUCCCAGAGCUCAACUCUGGAAUUGCCAUUGAAACUGUUAAUCUAGAGACUUGGAGGGGGAGGCGGAAUUUCUAAUGUAGGGGUGAAAUCCGUAGAUAUUAGAAGGAACACCGGUGGCGAAGGCGGCCUCCUGGACAAGUACUGACGCUGAGAUGCGAAAGUGUGGGGAUCAAACAGG
rnacentral:rRNA from 1 species